rnacentral:rRNA from 1 species
AUGUAUUUUGUUGCAUACAUGUGGGUGACAUGUUGCAAUGUCCCAAACCUCCGUUGUGAAGGUUGUGUUCCUGCUGCAAAGUUGUUUCACGGUGCUACAUACAUUGGCUACUAUGUUGCAUACAUUAGUGAUUUUCUCAAUGAUUUGCAGCAACCAUUAAAAUUUAUUGUUAUACAUAAAAAAUGUUGCAUGUAUCAGUAUUUUGGGCACUCUGUGAAAGAAAAUCUGACGACAAUGUUGCACGCACGGAAUAUAUGUUAUAUCACAUGGGAUUUUAUUGUGGGCAACAUAAUCAAUGUUUAG